UACGGAGGGUGCGAGCGUUGUCCGGAAUCAUUGGGCGUAAAGGGCGCGUAGGUGGCCCGGUCAGUCAGUGGUGAAAGCGCGGGGCUCAACCCCGCGUCGGCCAUUGAUACUGCCGCGGCUCGAGCACUGUAGAGGCAGGCGGAAUUCCGGGUGUAGCGGUGGAAUGCGUAGAGAUCCGGAAGAACACCGGUGGCGAAGGCGGCCUGCUGGGCAGUUUAGCUGACACUGAGGCGCGACAGCGUGGGGAGCAAACAGG
rnacentral:rRNA from 1 species